CCUAUCAAAUAGUUCCCUAUGCUUCUUCUCAUUUGAGUCUAGACUGGUUUACUUCCUGGCUCCUUUAUGGUGUAUCCUCAUCGUUUCAUAUGAUGAAAUUCAUUAUGAUUCAUUAAAUUUGCUCAUAAAAAGAGCUUGAUAUCCCCCUGGGGCAAGUUCAUUAAGAGAAUCUCUUUGGUUCAAUUAUGAAUCAUUUUUUCCCUGAAUCCAAAGGCAGCUCCUAAGAUGCAACCGUGAGCAAGGAGUCCUCACGUGGCAGAUUUGGGAAUCCAGCAGCCAAAAAUCAGGGCCUGCACAGCAAUUUCUGAAUAAAAAUAUCACUGUGGGAGAGGGAGCGCCAUAUGGCUGUCUGGUGGUGCUCUAUGCUCGGCGUCAACUGAAUUUCCAAGGACCGACUUGCACAGAAGGGUAGGCAGUAUGCAUGAAGGCAGUUGUGGAGAAAUAUGAACAGUGCACACUCCAGCGGGUCACUGGGGCCCUGGGAUUCGCCUACUGAGAUCUGCCCGGAGUCAGGCAAAAACAGUAUCUGGAGAGAAAGCUUUCCCUUGGACACAGCUUAGUACUGGAUGGCUAUGAACCGGGCCAUGAAUUGAUGAGGAUAGAGAUGAAGCCGGCCUGGAAUUUGCUACACAUCCGCCCAAUACCCCACCUCUCUCUGCCAUAAGACGGCCCAUCACAGGCCCUGGGUUCCUCCUCAUUUUCUUCAAUCUUUGCUCUAUUUAUAGUUGAGGACCCUCCAUUUGCCCCUGUUGAAAUACAUUAGUUGCUCUAAACGCGAUGUCCCCCAUGUGGGUGGAGGGGGUUGACAUCCACAACUGCAGAGCACAGUCGUGGGAACCUGAGCAUCCUGGCUGGAGAACUACCUGACGGACCAGAAGGGGAGUAAUGACACGAUGCACAACACAACUGCAGGAAGGGGUCAGAGUGCUCACGGAUCAGAUGUUCCAGAGAAAGAACAGAAACCUACCCACAGGAGCUGGUGGUGGCCUAUGACCUGAGGACGGCUCUGGUGGGUCUCUUUCCAAUAACGAACACUGGGCCGGUGGAUGAUACUUGCUAUACAUAUAUGUACAUACACACAUGUAUACACAUAUAUACAUAUGCCUUGAUAAGUGGUAUAACCAUUUUAUAUCAAUUGAAUUUUGCUUCUUUUAAUGAUUGUAUGGGAUAUGAUGUCACUCUUCCCACGGCAUAUGUGUUUUGAGUUUCUCCUAAUGUUAGAGAGUUUUGCAUAGGGUACUGAAAAUCUCUCUUGCUCAGUCUUCCUUGGGAAAAAGUGCUCAGUCAGAA